ACCCCUGUGAGAAUGCCCGACCGUUUCCCCUCCUAGGGAACAAGGAGCGGGUAUCAGGCGCUUCCCCCGAAUGCCCAUGACACCUUGCUUAGCCACGCCCCCACGGGACCUCAGCAGUGACAAACAUUAAGCCAUAUGCGAAAGCUUGACUUAGUUAUAGCUAAGAGGGCCGGUAAAACUCGUGCCAGCCACCGCGGUUAUACGAGGGGCCCAAGUUGAUAAGCUACCGGCGUCGAGCGUGGUUAGGACGAAAAUUACACUAGAGCCAAACACCUUCAAGGCUGUUAUACGCAACCGAAGACAGGAAGUACAACCACGAAAGUGGCUUUAUCUGGUUUUAACCCACGAAAGCUAGGGGACAAACGGGGAUUAGACACCCUCCUAUGCCUAGCCAUAAACAUUGAUGGCCCAAAACAUACGUCAUCCGCCCGGGGACUACGAGCAACAGCUUAAAACCCGAAGGACUUGGCGGUGCUUUAGACCCACCUAGAGGAGCCUGUUCUGGAACCGAUAACCCCCGUUCAACCUCACCCUUCCUUGUUCAUCCAGCCUAUAUACCGCCGUCGUCAGCUUACCCCCUGAGGGUUCAUUAGUAAGCAAGACUGGUAAAACCCAAAACGUCAGGUCGAGGUGUAGCGCAUGGAAGGGGAAAAAAUGGGCUACAUUCGCUACCCCAGCGAAUUACGGACGAUGAGCUGAAACGCCCAUCUGAAGGAGGAUUUAGCAGUAAGCAGGAAGUAGAGCGUCCCGCUGAAACUGGCCCUGAAGCGCGUACACACCGCCCGUCACUCUCCCCAAAAACAUCUUUACACUAUUACAUUAAAGCCUGAUAAUCGAAAGGGGAGGCAAGUCGUAACAUGGUAAGUGUACUGGAAGGUGCACUUGGAAAAAU
rnacentral:ncRNA from 1 species